UACGGAGGGUGCAAGCGUUAAUCGGAUUUAUUGGGCGUAAAGGGGGCGUAGGCGGGAAAGAAAGUCAGCCGUGAAAGCCCGAGGCUCAACCUCGGAACAGCGUUUGAAACUUCUUUUCUUGAGGGUAGGCGGAGAAAACAGAAUUCCACAAGUAGCGGUGAAAUGCGUAGAUAUGUGGAAGAAUACCGGUGGCGAAGGCGGUUUUCUAGCUUAUUCCUGACGCUAAGGCCCGAAAGCUAGGGGAGCAAACAGG
rnacentral:rRNA from 1 species